rnacentral:lncRNA from 1 species
GAGAGAAUAAAAACACUUAUAACUUAACUUUGAAAGGUUAAGGAAAUAUACGCGAGAUCAUCUAGUACCAGGAGUGGUGUGAAUGCUCAACUAAUCUAGGGUAACUGGAGUUUAUUCGCUAAUCAGGUAUACUGGGAGUGGUGAAGAAUAUUUCACAACCAAGAGUGGGUGAAACUCAACUAGGCGAUACCGUGGAUACCAGGUUGCCUAAGGAUACCAGGAGUGGUGCGAAUACUCAAGGAAAUCAUGGCGGGUUGCUAAGUACCAUGAGUGGUGCGAAUAGUUAAGGAAAUCUUAGUGAGAUGUUUAGUACCAGUAGUGGUGCGAAUACUCAAGGAAAUCUCGACGGGUUGUUAAGUACCAAGAGUGGUGCGAAUAAUCAAGGAAAUCUUGGUGGGUUACUGAGUACCAGGAGUGGUAGGAUUACUCAAUUGAUAUAGGGUAACUGGAGGUUACUCGCUAACUAGGGAAACCAGGAGUGGUGAAUAAUACAAAGCAAUCAAGAGUGGGGGAAACUAAACUAGACAGGUUUCUCAAAUGUACUGAGAACGUCUUGGGAUACUAGGAGUGGUGAAUAAUAUUACGCAACCAAAAGUGGGAAAAAAUAAACUAAAUGGGUUUCUCAAAUGUAUUAAGAGUGUCUAGGGAUACCAGAAGUUAUGAAUAAUACCAUGCAAUCAGGAGUAAGUUAAACUCAAUUGCACUUUGUAAGAUUCGAUUAAAAAAAAAUACUUUUUUAUUUUAUUUUUAUAACUUCUAAUAUUAAAUACUUAAUUAUGUAUGGUAUUU